AUUGAACGCUGGCGGCAUGCCUUACACAUGCAAGUCGAACGGUAACAGGUCUUCGGAUGCUGACGAGUGGCGAACGGGUGAGUAAUACAUCGGAACGUGCCCGAGAGUGGGGGAUAACGAGGCGAAAGCUUUGCUAAUACCGCAUACGAUCUCAGGAUGAAAGCAGGGGACCGCAAGGCCUUGCGCUCACGGAGCGGCCGAUGGCAGAUUAGGUAGUUGGUGGGAUAAAAGCUUACCAAGCCGACGAUCUGUAGCUGGUCUGAGAGGACGACCAGCCACACUGGGACUGAGACACGGCCCAGACUCCUACGGGAGGCAGCAGUGGGGAAUUUUGGACAAUGGGCGCAAGCCUGAUCCAGCCAUGCCGCGUGCAGGAUGAAGGCCUUCGGGUUGUAAACUGCUUUUGUACGGAACGAAAAGACUUCUUCUAAUAAAGGGGGUCCAUGACGGUACCGUAAGAAUAAGCACCGGCUAACUACGUGCCAGCCGCCGCCGUAACAC
rnacentral:rRNA from 1 species